rnacentral:rRNA from 1 species
GCAUCGGGCAGAGGGAAAAGGAGCAAUCCGCUUUGAGAUGGCCUCGCGUCCGAUUAGCUAGUUGGUGAGGUAAUGGCCCACCAAGGCGACGAUCGGUAGCCGGACUGAGAGGUUGAACGGCCACAUUGGGACUGAGACACGGCCCAGACUCCUACGGGAGGCAGCAGUGGGGAAUAUUGCACAAUGGGGGAAACCCUGAUGCAGCGACGCCGCGUGGAGGAAGAAGGUCUUCGGAUUGUAAACUCCUGUUGUUGAGGAAGAUAAUGACGGUACUCAACAAGGAAGUGACGGCUAACUACGUGCCAGCAGCCGCGGUAAAACGUAGGUCACAAGCGUUGUCCGGAAUUACUGGGUGUAAAGGGAGCGCAGGCGGGAAGACAAGUUGGAAGUGAAAUCCAUGGGCUCAACCCAUGAACUGCUUUCAAAACUGUUUUUCUUGAGUAGUGCAGAGGUAGGCGGAAUUCCCGGUGUAGCGGUGGAAUGCGUAGAUAUCGGGAGGAACACCAGUGGCGAAGGCGGCCUACUGGGCACCAACUGACGCUGAGGCUCGAAAGUGUGGGUAGCAAACAGGAUUAGAUACCCUGGUAGUCCACACUGUAAACGAUGAUUACUAGGUGUUGGAGGAUUGACCCCUUCAGUGCCGCAGUUAACACAAUAAGUAAUCCACCUGGGGAGUACGACCGCAAGGUUGAAACUCAAAGGAAUUGACGGGGGCCCGCACAAGCAGUGGAGUAUGUGGUUUAAUUCGACGCAACGCGAAGAACCUUACCAAGUCUUGACAUCCUGCGACGCACAUAGAAAUAUGUGUUUCCUUCGGGACGCAGAGACAGGUGGUGCAUGGUUGUCGUCAGCUCGUGUCGUGAGAUGUUGGGUUAAGUCCCGCAACGAGCGCAACCCUUAUGGUCAGUUACUACGCAAGAGGACUCUGGCCAGACUGCCGUUGACAAAACGGAGGAAGGUGGGGAUGACGUCAAAUCAUCAUGCCCUUUAUGACUUGGGCUACACACGUACUACAAUGGCGUUAAACAAAGAGAAGCAAGACCGCGAGGUGGAGCAAAACUCAGAAACAACGUCCCAGUUCGGACUGCAGGCUGCAACUCGCCUGCACGAAGUCGGAAUUGCUAGUAAUCGCAGAUCAGCAUGCUGCGGUGAAUACGUUCCCGGGCCUUGUACACACCGCCCGUCACACCAUGAGAGCCGGGGGGACCCGAAGUCGGUAGUCUAACCGCAAGGAGGACGCCGCCGAAGGUAAAACUGGUGAUUGGGGUGAAGUCGUAACAAGGUAG